rnacentral:lncRNA from 1 species
CUUAUUUUACUGAUUUAGUAUUAUAAUUCCAAAUGUAAAAUGAGUUAUUAAAUAUAAGUUAUAAGUAUGUGCAUAAGAAAUUACAAAAUUUAAAUAACUAUAAUUUUGAAGGAAAAAGCGAGAAAGGCAGAAAUGAGCCUUCAUUUGCUCUGGGGAAUUUGCGAACAUGGGUGUUCUGAACUCACUCACAAAUCUUUCUUCUUUGAUGCUCUUUCCUUUUCUACAGACCCUUUGGUGGCAGAAAUGGUUCAUGACUUUCUGAAAAGCAGCUCUCCAGCCAAAUUCUGUCUGCUGGGCCUGAAACUGAACUUUAAAGGGUUGAUUUCUUAAGUUCAUCUCCUACCACACUAAAGUAAAUAUGCAAAACCCAAUGUACUGUUCAUUCUCAUUGUCAAGGCUCAAAAUGCAGGUAAGUGGGAGGCAUAUUUUCUGUAGAGACUUUAAAAACAAUAAUAAAAUCAAGUUAAAUCACUUUUCUUUUCUUUAUCAUUAUGUGGCAGGAACUGUAAUAAUGCUUGCUUAGGGUACAGAUUAUGUCUCUAAUCCUGGUAGGACUACAUAUUUAUGCACUAAAUAGUCAUUAUAAGAAUUAACAAACAGAUCAUUAAUUAUGUCAAUUCUGCUUUUCUAUGUGG